UACGUAGGGGGCAAGCGUUGUCCGGAUUUAUUGGGCGUAAAGAGCGUGUAGGCGGCCUGACAGGUCUGCUGUGAAACUCGAGGCUCAACCUCGAGAUGUCGGCGGAAACCGUCUGGCUAGAGUCCGGAAGAGGAGAGUGGAAUUCCUGGUGUAGCGGUGAAAUGCGCAGAUAUCAGGAAGAACACCUAUGGCGAAGGCAGCGUCUCUGGGACGGUACUGACGCUGAGACGCGAAAGCGUGGGAGCGAACAGG
rnacentral:rRNA from 1 species